rnacentral:piRNA from 2 species
UGUUUACGUGUUUGACGACAAGGGC